rnacentral:rRNA from 1 species
UACGAAGGGGGCGAGCGUUGUUCGGAUUUACUGGGCGUAAAGGGCGCGCAGGCGGCGAGUUUUGUCAGGCGUGAAAGCCCCGGGCUCAACCUGGGAAUUGCGCUUGAAACGGGCUUGCUAGAGAUCGGGAGAGGAGAGUGGAAUUCCCAGUGUAGAGGUGAAAUUCGUAGAUAUUGGGAAGAACACCGGUGGCGAAGGCGCUCUCUGGACCGAUACUGACGCUGAGGCGCGAAAGCGUGGGGAGCAAACAGG